AUGGGCGGGGGCCCAAGCCAACAGAGCUGGAUGCACCAGAGAGCGAAGAUCAACAUUGAGGAACGUGAUGGGCUGAGAGGCCAGAAGCCUGAGGGAGAACCAGGCAUGCGGAAGCUGUGUGGGGUGGCACAAGGCAGUGGACCUGGAGGACAGAAGGGUGAGGGGCCCAUUGGGGACCUGAUCCUUGGCUGCCAGGCUGGGGAGACCUCCACCACGGCCCCAAAGGUCUUCCCACUGGCCCCCUGCUGUGGGGACACAUCUGAAUCCACGGUGGCCCUGGGCUGCCUGGUCUCCAGCUACAUCCCAGAGCCAGUGACCGUGUCCUGGAACUCAGGCGCCCUGACCAGCGGCGUGCACACCUUCCCGUCCGUCCUGCAGUCUUCGGGGCUCUACUCCCUCAGCAGCGUGGUGACCGUGCCUGCCAGCAGCUUGGAGAGCCAAACCUACACCUGCAACGUAGCCCACCCAGCCAGCAGCACCAAGGUGGAUAAGAGAAUCGUCGUAAAAGACCUGAAGCCCUGCUGCAAUUGUUUACCAUGCCAAGGGCCGAGGGUCUUCAUCAUCCCCCCGAAACCCAAGGACAUCCUCAUGAUGUCCCACAAGCCCAAGGUCACCUGCCUGGUGGUGGACGUGAGCCAGGAAAACCCCAAUGUCCAGUUAAACUGGUACGUGGAUGGCACGGAGCAGAGCACGGCCACAACGACGCCAAACGAGAAUCAGCCAAAUGGCACCCAGCGGGUGGUCAGCGUCCUCCCCAUCCAGCACCAGGACUGGCUGAGUGGAAAGACGUUCAAGUGUAAGGUCAGCAACGAUGCCCUCCCGGCCCCCAUUGAGAAAACCAUCUCCAAGGACAGAGGGCCGGCCCGGGAGCCGCAGGUGUACGUGCUGGCCCCACACCAGGAGGAGCUGGCCAAGGGCACGGUCAGCGUGACCUGCCUGGUCAAAGACUUCUACCCACGUGACAUCGUCAUCGAGUGGAAGAGCAAUGGGGAGUCAGAGCCGGAGGGCAAGUACCACACCACCCCACACCAGCUGGAAGGCGAUGGGUCCUACUUCCUGUACAGCAAGCUCUCGGUGGAGACAAACAGGUGGAAGCAGGGAGUCAAGUUCACGUGCGUGGUGAUGCACGAGGCUCUCCACAAUCACUCCACGGAGAAAUCCACCUCCCAGUCUCCUGAGAUGGUCCUGGAUGAGAGCUGUGUCGAGACCCAGGACGGGGAGCUGGACGGGCUGUGGACCACCAUCUCCAUCUUCAUCACACUCUUCCUGCUCAGCGUGUGCUACAGCGCCACCGUCACCCUCUUCAAGGUGAAGUGGAUCUUCUCCUCGGUGGUGGAGCUGAAGCCGACGAUGGUCCCCGACUACAGGAACAUGAUCGGGCAGGGGGCCUAGGGCCACAUAUCCUAAGCUGACAUCCA